rnacentral:rRNA from 1 species
UACGUAGGGGGCAAGCGUUGUCCGGAAUCAUUGGGCGUAAAGAGCGUGUAGGCGGCCAGAUAAGUCCGCUGUGAAAUCUCGAGGCUCAACCUCGAGACGCCGGUGGAAACCGUAAAGCUAGAGUCCGGAAGAGGAGAGUGGAAUUCCUGGUGUAGCGGUGAAAUGCGCAGAUAUCAGGAGGAACACCCGUGGCGAAAGCGGCUCUCUGGGACGGUACUGACGCUGAGAAGCGAAAAGCAUGGGGAGCGAACAGG